UAAACGUGCACAAGAAGAACGCAAUGUUCUGUGGUGGAUCGCGCCUGUCUUGACUGCUUUUAUUGUAAUAAUGGCAGUGGUCAUACUGGCAGUCAAAAAGAAUCAGCUGAAAACUGGCACCUUCACCAUACUGGAAAAGACUAUGAAUGAAACCCUGUCAUCUGUAACCUCCGACUCCAGUCGAGGCCCUCCCAGCACUGACAUAUCAAUGGAGGUCAUGGACGCCACCUCACCUAACCCCCUCACUGACACCAUCAACACUUUUUAAAAAGAAUUGGCUGUGGAUUAAAGGGCUAAGGCACCAUUUUGUUACGCAAGGGACCGUGGUUCGAUUCCGACCUGAGGUCAUUUCCUAAUCCUCCCCCAUCUCUCUCUCCCACUCGCUUCCUGUCACCUUCUCACAGGACAAACAGUGCUGUGGCAUGGCACAUUACGGCACCUGUCCAUAACUUAGCCACUGUUCCAUGGGGACCCAGGUUAGAGACUGGUCUCUCAUUCUCACUCACUUCCCGACAUCUCUCAAACUGUCCUGUCAAAUAAAGAUAGAGUCACUGUUUGCUAUAUGAACUCAACUAUCAACAUCCUUGUCAAUGCUGAGGGUCCUAAGUAGGACUUGGUGACCAUUACCGUUUUGGUAACAAGCUCAUAAUAGGGCCACUGUUAAUGAUUACUUUUUCAUACAUUUUGUUACCUUUAAUAUCCUGGGCAAUGUGGCCAUUAUCAACUUUUUAUUACUUUUAUUAUUAUUGUAUAGCUUUCUUUGUGUCUGUUACUUAGUCAGAAUGGGUUGGGCCAAGUGUAGGCCUACUGCUGUAAAGGCCUUGGUGUAGAUUAAAUUCUUUAACUCUGAUACUCAUACGCUGUGAUGCCAAUAUUUUGUUAGACAGUACUGUGCUUAAAACUUAACAACAAUGUCUUAAUGAAAGAAGUGUACAUAACAUAUUAUGAGAAAUCACAUUUUUAAAUAAAUCACUUUAUUGCUUUAUCACAAAUUGCUUUAGAUGGCGUCAAGCAUGUGUGGUGGUAAACAAGUGAGUUUUACACAAAAAGUGCAUCAUCUGGCUCGUCAGGCAUGGUAGUGGGACUGACAUGGUUUGGCAAGGUAUGGAUGCCAUCAACAUUGGAAAUCUAAAUUACACCUAAAGAAGCAUGUAUGUCAACAUGCACUGUGACUACAGAAGCAGAUCAUGAUACUCUCCAUAGGAUUUCAUUCAAAACUCACACCCAUCUAUUUUAGCCAGGCGCAGACUCAAAAUGUACAAUUUCAAUGUACUGAAAGGUUGAAACACACACCGAUGACCUCCCUUUUAAUCCCUUUUCAUUUCGAAAUGAAUGUAGUUGCUGCCAAAGGUGGUUCUACAAAGUAUUAAGCAAAGGCUGUGAAUACUUUUGUAAAUAUGAUUUCUUUGUUUUUUAUUUUUAUACAUUUUCAAAACUGUCAAGAAAACUUGUUUUUCACAUGAUCAUAAUGGAAUAAUUUGUGUAGAAUUUUGACAACAGAGAUUCAUUUGUAGCAUUUGGAAUAAGGCUGUAAGAUAAUAAAAUGUGAAAAAAGUGAA